GAUGAACGCUGGCGGCGUGCCUAAUACAUGCAAGUCGAGCGAACAGACGAGGAGCUUGCUCCUCUGACGUUAGCGGCGGACGGGUGAGUAACACGUGGAUAACCUACCUAUAAGACUGGGAUAACUUCGGGAAACCGGAGCUAAUACCGGAUAAUAUAUUGAACCGCAUGGUUCAAUAGUGAAAGACGGUUUUGCUGUCACUUAUAGAUGGAUCCGCGCCGCAUUAGCUAGUUGGUAAGGUAACGGCUUACCAAGGCAACGAUGCGUAGCCGACCUGAGAGGGUGAUAGGCCACACUGGAACUGGGACACGGUCCAGACUCCUACGGGAGGCAGCAGUAGGGAAUCUUCCGCAAUGGGCGAAAGCCUGACGGAGCAACGCCGCGUGAGUGAUGAAGGUCUUCGGAUCGUAAAACUCUGUUAUUAGGGAAGAACAAAUGUGUAAGUAACUAUGCACGUCUUGACGGUACCUAAUCAGAAAGCCACGGCUAACUACGUG
rnacentral:rRNA from 1 species